rnacentral:rRNA from 1 species
UGGGGAAUAUUCCGCAAUGGACGAAAGUCUGACGGAGCAACGCCGCGUGAGUGAUGAAGGUUUUCGGACUGUAAAGCUCUGUUGUUUAGGACGAAAGUGCCUGUUGCGAACAGUUACAGGUAUUGACGGUACUAAACGAGGAAGCCACGGCUAACUACGUGCCAGCAGCCGCGGUAAUACGUAGGUGGCAAGCGUUGUCCGGAAUUAUUGGGCGUAAAGAGCAUGUAGGCGGAGAUUUAAGUCUGUUGUGAAAAUGCGGGGCUCAACCCCGUAUUGCGAUGGAAACUGAAUUUCUUGAGUGCAGGAGAGGAAAGGGGAAUUCCCAGUGUCGCGGUGAAAUGCGUAGAUAUUGGGAGGAACACCAGUGGCGAAGGCGCCUUUCUGGACUGUGUCUGACGCUGAGAUGCGAAAGCCAGGGUAGCGAACG